AUGACAGCCUUUCCAAUUGACCCUGCAUCCGACGACUGGCCGGGCUCGGCCUUCGACCCCGCGCCGUCGACAUUAGCGGACACGAGCACGGGCACCAUCAUGGACUCAGAGAUCGUCCGCAUCCUGUCUAAAACGGUAUGAGAUGAGGAGUAGCUUUCUCAGGCACUUGUUCUCAAAUGCCUGGAUUCUCUUUUCGGUGUCUGAGGGUGCAUGUCUCACAACCAUAACACUGUGACGAGGCAGGCAAAGAAUGAGGAUCCAAGUGCAGCUUUAAUGAAACAAAAGAUAAACAAGGGUGGAGUUUGUUUUUCAACCUUCAUGAUGUUGAGAAAACAGAACAUCAGGUUUAUCAGUCCAGAGACACAUUUGUAAACCAGAACAAACUAAAAAUGUUUUAAAUGAUUAUCAGCAAGAAGAGAUUGGACAUAAAGUGGAGAGAUUGGAGAGUGGACAAUAAAUAGGACUGCAAGAUUUAUACAGAUUAAGAAACAGUCUGACAAAUGAUGGACUGGAAAAGGACGCUGAUCUUAAUGACAGUGAGUUUCUCUAAUGUUUAACAGUUAAUUUGCCACAAAUAUUUUUUUUACUUAACAUUCUUAUUCGAUGAGU